AAUGAUGAUGUGAUGAGAUCAUGAUGAUAGAUGAGGAUGUAACGAGAUGGAUCAUCAUGAUGAUAUGAAAAGAUGAUGAGAUGAUAAAUGGUGAGAUGAUGAUGAGUAUGCUGAUGUAAAGAGAUGAAUCGUGAUGAUUAUGAAGAUGAUGUAAUGAGAUAAUGAUGAUAUAAAAAGAUUAUGAGCCAAGCCGAGCAAAUCGGUAAGGAUAAAAGCCAACACCUUGGCCUACAACACAAUGGAGAGCAAGUUUGCUACUUGCCUGCAUGCCACAAGUGGACGAGCUUUAAUUAAACAGUUUUAAAGUCCAGCAGGUGGGUGCCAGGUUGGGCCUUUGGCCCACCCAACCUUUGAUCUGUAGAUAUAUAUGUAUAUAUAUAUAUAUAUAUAGAUCAUAAUAUCAUAAAUAUUAAAAAAACAAAACCCUAA